ACAUUCUGGGUUUCCUCUGGGUUCUCCGGUUUCCUCCCAUCUCCCAAAAACAUAUCUGUGGGUGGAUUGGCUACGAUCAAUUGCCCCAGGUGUGAAUGCGUGUGCAGGACUGGCAUCCCAUUCAGGGUGUAUACCUGCCCCAUGCCCAGUAUUCCCAGAACAAACCAGGAUAAAGUAGGUCUGAGUGAGUGUUUAAGGCAUGAAGUUAACUCGAAGGCACAGACAAGGCGGUGGUGGAGUGUUCAAGCCAUGCAUGUUUAUACACAUAACAGACACUCAUCAUUUUAGCUCUUGAAUAUAGUUACCUCAGAAUAAAAACAGUCUAGAGUGAGCAGGAGCACCAAACUGUUAACAGUUGUUGACAAAAACACCAGUGACAUGUGUCACGUCUGCAGCACCGUCGCUGACAUCCUGGCUAAAAUACAAAUAACUCCCUAUGGGACGUAUAGUGCACUGCAUAAAGUGUGGAAAUCGUUGUUUAAUAGUCUACGUAGUGCACUUGUAUAGGGAGCAGGGAGGCAUUUGGGAUUCAGCCCUCGUCUGGUUGAGCCGAACCAGCUAGCUUGGGUAGCUAAGGAGCUAACAAAACGCGACAGAGCAGAAAUAAGGAGCACUGUUUGUUUUCUCGGGCGAAGGCAGCAUCUCCGGGAUCUUUUACCUGAAAUCCCAAACAACUUCCGGG